rnacentral:lncRNA from 1 species
CUGCAUUUCUUGAAGUGUUUUGCACAUAAUUCAGACUGAGUUCAGUUGGGAUAGAUGUGCAUGGCCUUGAACCCAUCCUCCAGCUGGACACCUUGAUACACCCUUCUGCCCCCGACUACCCAUGUAACUCUGCAAGACGCCUGCUCCUCCAGCCCAGGACAGAACAAUGGAGAAGCUGUGCCAGGAUCUCCUGCUCCAGUGUAGUCUGGUUUCUCGAAGUCCUUGUUAAUCUAUACAUGUCAUUGUAGACGCCAAGUUUCCUGCCUUGUUGACCCCCGCCACGUGGCCCCAUCAUCAUGCCCCACCUUUCUCUGUUACAGUGCACAGAUAGGAUCAAGGAACUGUGGUCCCCCGGGCUGACACUGUAUCUCAGCUAAAGAGCUCCAGUCAGACUCUGCAAGUCGCGGG